rnacentral:sRNA from 1 species
AUCAUCGGGAAACGCGGGCUGCCUUUUCUUCGUAGGGAGAAGGUGGCGGUCCGGACAUGAUGAUACAACAUACCAGAUAAGAUCCCAUGGAGCUUCGAGUUGGCGGUGCCAAGCCGUCGGACAACAGUCCGGCGGCUAGCAAGGGCU